rnacentral:rRNA from 1 species
UACAGAGGGUGCAAGCGUUAUUCGGAAUCACUGGGCGUAAAGAGCUCGUAGGCGGUUAAUUAAGUCGAAUGUGAAAUCCCUGGGCUCAAUCCAGGAAGUGCAUUCGAUACUGAUUGACUGGAGUGCAGGAGAGGAAAGCGGAAUUCCAGGUGUAGAGGUGAAAUUCGUAGAUAUCUGGAGGAACAACAGAAGCGAAGGCGGCUUUCUGGACUGUCACUGACGCUGAGGAGCGAAAGCGUGGGGAGCAAACAGG